rnacentral:rRNA from 1 species
UACGUAGGGUGCAAGCGUUAUCCGGAAUUAUUGGGCGUAAAGAGCUCGUAGGCGGUCUGUCGCGGUCUGCUGUGAAAUCUGGGGGCUCAACCCCCCAGCCUGCAGUGGGUACGGGCAGACUAGAGUGCGGUAGGGGAGAUUGGAACUCCUGGUGUAGCGGUGGAAUGCGCAGAUAUCAGGAAGAACACCGAUGGCGAAGGCAGAUCUCUGGGCCGUAACUGACGCUGGAGGAGCGAAAGCGUCGGGGAGCGAACAGG